rnacentral:rRNA from 1 species
CCCUUAGACGUUCUGGGCCGCACGCGCGCUACACUGAUUCAUGCAACGAGUUUUGUCCUUGGCUGAAAGGCCUGGGUAAUCUUUGAACGUGAAUCGUGCUGGGGAUAGAUGAUUGCAAUUAUUCAUCUUCAACGAGGAAUUCCUAGUAAACGCAAGUCAUCAGCUUGCAUUGAUUACGUCCCUGCCCUUUGUACACACCGCCCGUCGCACCUACCGAUUGAAUGGUCCGGUGAAAUCUUCGGAUCUGAGAGAUGUUGGAUUAAUUUCUGACGCCUUUUGGAAAAGUCGCUUAAACCUUAUCAUUUAGAGGAAGGUGAAGUCGUAACA